rnacentral:rRNA from 1 species
UACGAAGGGGGCUAGCGUUGUUCGGAAUUACUGGGCGUAAAGCGCGCGUAGGCGGUUUUGCAAGCCAGAGGUGAAAUGCCUGAGCUCAACUUAGGAAUUGCCUUUGGGACUGCGAGGCUUUGAGGACUGGAGAGGUGAGUGGAAUUCCCAGUGUAGAGGUGAAAUUCGUAGAUAUUCGCAAGAACACCGGUGGCGAAGGCGGCCAACUGGACCAUUACUGACGCUGAGGCGCGAAAGCGUGGGGAGCAAACAGG